UACGGAGGGAGCGAACGUUGUUCGGAUUUACUGGGCGUAAAGGGUGUGUAGGCGGUCUUGCAAGUCAGGGGUGAAAUCUCUCGGCUCAACCGAGAAACUGCCUUUGAGACUGCAGGACUUGAGGGCGUGAGAGGAGACUGGAAUUCCUAGUGUAGCGGUGAAAUGCAUAGAUAUCUGGAGGAAUACCGGUGGCGAAGGCGGCAUCCUGGACCAUAACUGACGCUGAGGCGCGAAAGCUAGGGGAGCAAACGGG
rnacentral:rRNA from 1 species